rnacentral:misc_RNA from 1 species
AACGCACCUUGCGCUCCUUGGUAUUCCGAGGAGCAUGCCUGUUUGAGUGUCUUGAAGUCAUCAGCCCCUCCCGUUUCGUGCGGCGAGAAGGUUGGACUUUGGGGGCCUGCGGCCGUGAGGUCCGCUCCCCUCAAAUGUGUCGGUUGGGCCUGUGGGUUGAACCCGAUUGGGUGUUGUACCAUCCUCGCUCUCUUUGGGACGUUCCCCUUCUGUGCCCCUCUGCGACCUGCCCCUGGGGUGGCGGUCAAAGCUGACUCUGAAAUCUGACCUCAAAUCAGGUAGGACUACCCGCUGAACUUAA